GCUCCGGUGGCCUAGUGGUUAGAGCGUUCGCCUCUGGUGCAUGAUAUCGCGGGUUUGAACCCUGGCCGAGUCA